GGUGACGUGGCAGUAACGAAACGAAGUUACAAUGGGAAGUCAGUGGAUUGUAAUGGAAUCUCUGCAUCAUCAAGCGACAAAGGCUGGGUUGGUUCGCUGCUGGUUCCUUCCGAAGCUUCUAGAGAAUCACUAAUGGGCUAUUGCCUUGCCAGUUACAUCUUGGUGAAAUUUCUUCAUUUUUUUCGAUCUGCCAACCACGAAAUUCCCCAUUGGUCUAUAAUACUAUGUUUUUAUUGUUGAUAUUUGUUUGUUUGUUCUUUAAUCGGCGCCUCGGUAUAUUAUAAUCUCUUGGACGCUACUCAGCACCUAGACAGCAUCUCUAUGGUUACAGAAAUAUUUCUUUAGCAUGGAAUUUUUUUUCAGCUGAUAUAGGAAACCCUCAAGGGAUCAUUAUUCCAACUAACAACUGUGUUUUUCUCAAUAAGCCCUGAAAUGGCCAGAUUUGUAGCAGGUGUUCAACUCUCACAACCUCCAGCAAGACAGAAAAUAAAACGAACUCCCCCUCGUCCCCCACGCCUGUUAUAAUUACGUGAAGGAAAUGGAGGGACGACUACCACCGCCGGCGUUUCCGAGACCACCGAGCACCUGCGACCGAGGCUGCGGAAUGUCUCGAAGUCAUCGUCCCUCCAUCAGGAUGAAUGAUGAUCUAUAGGUGAUCACUAAAGCACCAGCGACUGAAGCAAGCACGGAUGUUGAGGGUUCCAUCUUGAGGCCCUGACACUGUAAUAUCUACUCACUGAUGCUUAGUAUCGAAGGUUGGUUGAAUGAAAGACCAGCCGCUACCACAGCGGCGACAUUAAGACUAACAUCGACUCCAUCACCGGCCGUCGUUAAAAAGGAAGCUGGGCAGGUGGCGUCUGCGAAGUAGAACUCGAUUCCUAGCUUUCUGCCAGCACAUUAAAGCAUCGAUCUUCGAGAAAAAUAAAGAAAGUCUGAUCUUAUGUUUCAACUUGCAGCGACUGUUGACUUCUGCUACAGCAAAGAAACAAACUUGUGAUCUAUGUUGUUGUCUCUGUUCACGAACAGCUUCAAUUUUUAUGUUUCUCCCAUCACCACAUCCUGCCGAUCCACAGGAUCCUCCUUACGAUAGUAAAAAUUCUUUUACCGCGUGAAUAUUUUCUUUAAAACACAAGAAAUCUUCUUUAUUGAACUGCAUGGAGGAAGUUCAUUAAUAAUAUCAUGCUGUUUUCAAGGCUUGCAGAUCCGAUGUGUAUACUGCUUCAAAACAACGAUGGGUUAAAAAAAAACAAACACUUUCAACAACAGCAACGACAAAACAAAACUGGAAGACAGGAACUGCAGGAAGAAAAGGUCAAAGUUUACGAUGCUAAGCCAAGAAAACUUCUUUACAGGAAAAGUGCAGGCAAGCUACAGUCAGACACAAUGUUAGAACUGCUCCAGGAUAUGAACCUGGGAAAUUUCUCCCAAUCACCUCCUUAAGCGUGUUCGUCCCUCUGUGCCUCUGGCAUUGAUCGCAAAAACCUGCAACGUGUGUGGUGGACGUCAGUGGGAGACGGACAGCCAUUGCCAUGGACCUUCCACUACUUUCAACCACGAAGACAGGGAUUUGCAUGAUCAAUACUAGUUCUUGCUGUUCGGUCUGUGUGGACCGUAGACUCCACACGUGUCUAUGCACGUGUUUGUCGAUGCGUACGUAAGGUGUCUGCGCUUUUUCACAGUCAUCCUCUGCAAGCCAACAUUCUCCAUUUUUGAAGUGCUGUGGUGUCUUGUUGCCUUCCUCACGUGUACCCUGGUCCCUUGUCCUGGCCUUCUGUCGCCAAGGGGCGGUUCUUUCUCGCGAGUCCUCGGCUUCCUUGAAGAGGAGAAAAACAUGGAGGCGAACGAUGUGGACACUGGGUCAUGAUGCCGGAAAUGGACGUGAUUAGAAUUUAGGCAACCUCCAUGUUAAAAACGCCAGCGAUCGUGUCAUGUGUCAUGUUAACCACAUCAUCUGAAGGGGAAGCAGAUGGAGCGGAUGGUCCCAUAACUCUCAGAGAUGCCGUCACCAACGCUUCCCUGGAGAAAGAUAUAGUUACAUAGAAAUCCCUAAAGGGAGCUACUGCCAUCGACUACUCCCGCUUGAAGAUACUGUCAUCGACAAUUCUCCUGCAUGGUACCACAGCUCUCUCGUCAACAUCACCUUCAUUAACAUUUCCUUCUCGAAAGAUACGAUCGUCAACAGCUCCCUAAGGGAUGACACCGUCAACAACAACUUUAUGAUGGAAGAUAUUGACUCUUUCUUUUUCAGAAGACAUCUUUGCUAACAACGUCUUCGUGAAUGGGUCCGUUACCAAUAAGAAAUUCAUAAAAGACAUGGUCCUUGGAUUUCUGUAACAGGGUUUGCUGUGUGAUUGCUGUCGAUAAUGCUAAUUGUGUUGUUGGUAAUCAUGACGUCACCAUGGUGAUGUGUGGAAGAGCAUGUGAGCGUAUGGGGUGUGCGCGUGCAGAGAUGUAUGUUAUUUUCUGCCCCUCUGCUCACACAAAUAGCUGUCUGCGCCUUUCGUCGUGUCUCCUCUCUAAACAAGACUGGAAUAAGUCUGGUAUUUUCUUCUGGCAGAGUUCUCGGUGUGGACAAAGUCUGACCACUCACCCCAGAAACAGAGGCUGGCAUCCGGGUGUAAAAUCAAGGAGUCCCGCUCUCCUCCCAAAGACCAGCGCGGCUCCAGCAUCUCGCACGUAACACGUGCAUACACACGUGAAUUCGUUCUUUGCAACUGUUGAUAACAUCCAUGUCUCGCUGUAAACUCUUUCUCCGGCUUUGCAAUCACUUUAUAAAUAGAAAAAAAACCCAAUGGCGAGAUGCUGUAGAUUAAGCGUGAUGCACAUUUUAGAAAAAAAAAUUUCCUACGUGCAAUCCAGGAAGCAGGAAAAUGAGAGAUGAACUUGAAAAAAAACAACAGUUAUCACGAUUUUUUUCAAGUGCUUCCUUGUAUGUGUGUGUUUGUGCUUAUGUAUAAAAGUUUUUUUUCUUUCUUAACAUUAAAAGAGUUUGGCAUGUAUAACGAAAAAAACCCAGACUCAGCUAUAAUCAAAGUUCUGAUAGAAAUAAUUUCACGUGUCUCUUUUUUUGAGAAGAAACAGAUGGAAUGGCCUCCCCGCCUCAGGGCUUAGGUGUAUUUUUAAACCGGACAAAAGCUCGCGAGGGACUUAACUUAUUGCAUUACGGAAAUCAAUAGCAUAAGCUCGUGCCUGGCGCACGUGCAAGGAGUGGGUAGGCCUGCGGACUACUUUCUCAGUCAAUAAUAAUCAAGGCAGGGCCAAGCAACGCAUUUAACAUUGAUGCGCCGGAUGCGAGUCCGCAGAUGGAUAAUGACAGAUAAUAGUUCACCGCUGUUUACACCGGGGACUUCUACCCGAGCAGUUUCCAGCAACUUUAAAUACCAGGGUGACAAUCACCUCAGAGUUCGUCGCCAAAAGAACGAGAAGAAAGAAAAGUGUUGGAGGCGACAAUGUGAUCUUAAACCAUUCAUCACGCACCAGAUCACCGGUUCCCUGUUUUUAUUUCUAUUUUGUGUGGUGGUAGACGAUGAGAAUUAUUCUAGUUUCUCAUUGCUCUUAGACGAGUAGGAUAGGAACUUAAUAUUCCUUCGGGAUGCAAGCUGUCAUUGUUUCAAGCAAUGUCUUAUGGUCAGUUAGCUACGUGAGAGCUGAAAUCUUACUAUUGGUAGGAUUUCUUUUACAGAAUUAUUGAGUAAGAAAUUUAUUUAUAUGAACACGAAGCUCAGUUUGAUUCUAACACCGUAACAUUGUUCUUGAAGGAAGACGAACGAAUCCUGAACUACAGAAAUUUAUCUUGCUGAUGUAUGCGUCGCCAUUUCUGCUCUGACCCUCUAGAGAAACAAAAACCCAAGUUACCUUUUUUUAAAAUGCCCUCGAUAACUAAUCAACAAAAUCUGGAAUAACAGAAACCUCGCCACGACACUUUCCCAGGACGCAUCAGUGGCAGGACAUUGUGGCAUGAUUCUUCUGCCCGAAUACCAGUUUAAUAAGGCGAGCGGUUCUCUAAAACUGAUAUCAUCAAUCAUCAAGAGUAAUCACACGUCCUUGCAGGGACCAUCGUCUGUCAGGUCGUGGGGGGAGCGCAUUGUGAAGUAACUUACCAGGAAUUUACAAGAAGCAGUAUAAGAAAUUCUUCUCUUUCUCUCCUGAGGUAUCUGCUUUGUGCUGAUGUUUUCCAGUUUCCAUGGCACAUAAACUGUUAAUCUAAACAUCCUUUUCGUGUAGCGCCUUUUUCUAUCGUUCUUUCUUCUCCCUGCACUUGAUUUUGUUUAGCGCAAUAGCCUUUCCGUGUUUUCCUUUUCCACUCACGCUUUCCUGCCUCAUGGUUUAACAUAAACACAGAAUAAAACAAACUAACCGAGCUUUAAACGUUAUUUGAACUUUUUGUGAAUUUAUUAUUAUUAUUAUCAUUAUUUGAAAAGUCAUGUUUUGGUGUGGUCUGUGAUGUCAGUAAGUGGUUCAAUAAAGCCUAUUCAUGUCAUUUCGAUUGUCUGUGGUCGGGAGGUUGUGAGGUCAUGACCUGCGGGCAGACUGGACAUUUCUGCUGCGGAGAGAGUGCAUUAGUGUAAUGAAAGAAAAUGGGAGUAAAAGCACAAGAGGGAUGAGCUGAGUGGUCCUGCCUCUGCAUCACCUCCAGCCAUGACUGUCUCGUCCGUGGAUGAAAGGUUUCGGGAAAGGGGUAUGCCGGAGCGAAGGGUACCUCGAGGAGGCACCGGGUGUUCGUCGGUGGGUACAGAGGAUUAUUACACUCUGAACUCCCAGGAAAGUCAACAAAAGUUCCUCCUGUUCCUUCUCGAAAUACACACACACACAAACGCAUCCACUCACUUCACUAUACACACGCAAAAAGCAAUAGCAUGAUUACCUCUAGCUAAAAUUUGUCCACUGAGCACGGUCAGGGAACAAUAAGGUCAGGGUGGAUUUAAGUCGCUUUGACACGCGAUUCAUCCAUACCCGAGGUUCACACUUGCUCAUAUAUCAGGCGGCACCGUCACGAGGUAACGUGCCCUGGCUUGCGCUUUGCCAUCUGCACGACAGGUCUCGACACACAACACUGAUGUUGUCGUGAAAACGACUCGGAAAGGUCGAAACACGAGGAAAGUAUGAAA